GUAAACUUCUUUUAUAGAAGAAGAAACCCCAGUAUUCUUAUUGGGUUGACGGUACUCUAUGAAUAAGCACCGGCUAACUCCGUGCCAGCAGCCGCGGUAAUACGGAGGGUGCAAGCGUUAUCCGGAUUCACUGGGUUUAAAGGGAGCGUAGGUGGGUCGGUAAGUCAGUGGUGAAAUCCCCGAGCUUAACUUGGGAACUGCCAUUGAUACUAUCGAUCUUGAAUUCUGUGGAGAUAAGCGGAAUAUAUCAUGUAGCGGUGAAAUGCUUAUAUAUGAUAUAGAACACCGAUAGCGAAGGCAGCUUACUACGCAGACAUUGACACUGAGGCUCGAAAGCGUGGGGAUCAAACAGGAUUAGAUACCCUGGUAGUCCACGCCCUAAACUAUGGAUACUCGACAUCAGCGAUACACUGUUGGUGUCUGA
rnacentral:rRNA from 1 species